CCUACGGGAGGCAGCAGUGAGGAAUAUUGGUCAAUGGACGCAAGUCUGAACCAGCCAUGCCGCGUGCAGGAAGACGGCUCUAUGAGUUGUAAACUGCUUUUGUACGAGGGUAAACGCAGAUACGCGUAUCUGUCUGAAAGUAUCGUACGAAUAAGGAUCGGCUAACUCCGUGCCAGCAGCCGGGGUAAUACGGAGGAUUCAAGCGUUAUCCGGAUUUAUUGGGUUUAAAGGGUGCGUAGGCGGUCGGAUAAGUUAGAGGUGAAAUCCCGAGGCUCAACUUCGGAAUUGCCUCUGAUACUGUUCGGCGAGAGAGUAGUUGCGGUAGGCGGAAUGUAUGGUGUAGCGGUGAAAUGCUUAGAGAUCAUACAGAACACCGAUUGCGAAGGCAGCUUACCAAGCUACUUCUGACGUUGAGGCACGAAAUCGUGGGGAGCAAACAGGAUUAGAUACCCUUGUAGUC
rnacentral:rRNA from 1 species